rnacentral:rRNA from 1 species
GUAGGUCCCGAGCGUUGUCCGGAUUUAUUGGGCGUAAAGCGAGCGCAGGCGGUUUGAUAAGUCUGAAGUUAAAGGCUGUGGCUUAACCAUAGUACGCUUUGGAAACUGUUUAACUUGAGUGCAAGAGGGGAGAGUGGAAUUCCAUGUGUAGCGGUGAAAUGCGUAGAUAUAUGGAGGAACACCGGUGGCGAAAGCGGCUCUCUGGUCUGUAACUGACGCUGAGGCUCGAAAGCGUGGGGAGCGAACAGGAUUAGAUACCCUGGUAGUCCACGCCGUAAACGAUGAGUGCUAGGUGUUGGAUCCUUUCCGGGAUUCAGUGCCGCAGCUAACGCAUUAAGCACUCCGCCUGGGGAGUACGACCGCAAGGUUG